GGAGAGGUCGCAUAGUGGUCGAUUGCGGCGGUUUCGAAAACCGCUAGUCGUGAAAGCGGCUCGGGAGUUCGAAUCUCCCCCUCUCCG
rnacentral:tRNA from 1 species